rnacentral:rRNA from 1 species
UACGGAGGAUGCGAGCGUUAUCCGGAUUUAUUGGGUUUAAAGGGUGCGCAGGCGGAUUUUUAAGUCAGCGGUCAAAUCGUGGGGCUCGACCCCAUCCAGCCGUUGAAACUGGGGAUCUAGAGUGUGCGAGAGGUAUGCGGAAUGCGUGGUGUAGCGGUGAAAUGCAUAGAUAUCACGCAGAACCCCGAUUGCGAAGGCAGCAUACCGGUGCACAACUGACGCUCAGGCACGAAAGCGUGGGUAACGAACAGG